rnacentral:rRNA from 1 species
GGUUGAAGGUGGGUAACACUAACUGGAGGACCGAACCCACUGUCGUUGAAAAGCCAGGGGAUGACUUGUGGAUAGGGGUGAAAGGCUAAUCAAGCCUGGUGAUAGCUGGUUCUCCCCGAAAGCUAUUUAGGUAGCGCCUCGGACGAAUACCAUAGGGGGUAGAGCACUGUUUCGGCUAGGGGUCAUCCCGACUUACCAAACCGAUGCAAACUCCGAAUACCUAUGAGUACUAUCCGGGAGACAGACUGCGGGUGCUAACGUCCGUAGUCAAGAGGAAAACAAUCCAGACCGCCAGCUAAGGCCCCAAAAUCAUAGUUAAGUGGGAAACGAUGUGGGAAGGCAUAGACAGCUAGGAGGUUGGCUUAGAAGCAGCCACCCUUUAAAGAAAGCGUAAUAGCUCACUAGUCGAGUCGGCCUGCGCGGAAGAUGUAACGGGGCUAAAACUAUGUGCCGAAGCUGCGGAUGUAUACUUUGUAUACGUGGUAGGGGAGCGUUCUGUAAGCCGAUGAAGGUGUGUUGAGAAGCAUGCUGGAGGUAUCAGAAGUGCGAAUGCUGACGUGAGUAACGACAAAACGGGUGAAAAACCCGUUCGCCGAAAGACCAAGGGUUCCAGUCCAACGUUAAUCGGGGCUGGGUGAGUCGACCCCUAAGGCGAGGCCGAAAGGCGUAGUCGAUGGGAAAAUGGUUAAUAUUCCAUUACUUCUGUGUAAUGCGAUGAGAGGACGGAGAAGGCUAAAUCAGCCUGGCGUUGGUUGUCCAGGUGAAAGGAUGUAGGCAUGUAUCUUAGGCAAAUCCGGGGUACUCUAUGCUGAGAUCUGAUAGCAAGCUGUACUUGUACAGCGAAGUGGUUGAUGCCAUGCUUCCAGGAAAAGUCUCUAAGCUUCAGUUAC